rnacentral:rRNA from 1 species
UACAGAGGUCCCAAGCGUUGUUCGGAUUCAUUGGGCGUAAAGCGCGUGUAGGCGGUCCGGUAAGUCCGCUGUGAAAGUCGAGGGCUCAACCCUCGAAUGCCGGUGGAUACUGUCGGGCUAGAGUGCGGAAGAGGCGAGUGGAAUUCCUGGUGUAGCGGUGAAAUGCGCAGAUAUCAGGAGGAACACCUAUUGCGAAGGCAGCUCGCUGGGACGUUACUGACGCUGAGACGCGAAAGCGUGGGGAGCAAACAGG